UAGUAGAUACGGGGUUUCACUGUGUUAGCCAGGAUGGUCUCGAUCUCCUGACCUCGUGAUCCGCCCUCCUCGGCCUCCCAAAGUGCUGGGAUUACAGGCUUGAGCCACCGCGCCUGGCCUGAGCUUGAAUUCUUAAUUCAUCCUAGCAAAUUCUACUUUAUUUUACAGAAGUGAAACUGAGGUAUCAAGUGUUAAGUGACAUGUCCACUAACAGGUGUCAGAGCUGAAAUUCAAACCCCAUCCACCUGGCCCUGGAGCCAGAGCUUCUUGUACUACACUGAAUUUCCCCUGCCAUUUCCAUCCUCCAGUCAUUUCUCUAUGAGGCUGAAACAGGAAAGCAGAGCAUCAUCAUGUUCAGCCUCAGCUGGGACCAUGUGUAUUGGGUGACUCAAAUUUUUCAUCCAUUUACACACAUCCACAAAUGACCACAAAAGUGCCACAGAUAUCAAUUUGAGGGUUAUAAAUUUUAGCAAGUUGGUAAAUUCACAAAUACGUAAUUGUGAAUAAUGAGGAUCAACUGUACCAUAUUUAGUAAAGCACAAAACCCACAUAGAUUGUCUUAUUAGAGACAGAAAUAGCAUUUGAUAAAAUCCAAAACCUUUCAUGAUAAAAACACUCAACAAACUUAGGAACAAAAGGAAUCUUCCUAGACAUGAUAAAUAUAACAUCUGUGAAAAGCCCACACAUGACAUACUUCAUGGUGAUAGACUGAAGGCUGAAUGUUUUCCCCUUAAGAUUGGGAAGAAGGACAAGGAUGUUCACUCACACUACUUCUAUUCAGCAUUGUACUUGAAGUUAUAGCCAGAGCAGUUAGGUUAGGAAUUCAAGGUUUGUUCAACAUCUAAAAAAUCAAAUAAGCUAAUGAAGCCAUUUAUACUGCAAAAAAAGUGAAACUAUAUGUAUUCACAGUUGAUAUACACUUGUAUAUAGAAAAUGCUAAAGAAUCCCUAAAAAGUAAUGAGUUCAACUGGUUGCAGGCUACAAGAUCAAACAUUAUACAAAAAUCAGUUUUAUUUCUGUACUAACAAACAUUCUGAAAAUGAGAAUAAAGAAAUCCUACAUACAGUAGCAUCAAGAAUAAAAUUACAACACGUUGUUUAAAGAAAUCAAGAUCCAGAUAAAUGGAAAGACAUCCAUGUUCAUGGAUUAGAAGACUUAAUAUUGGUAAGAUGGCAAUGUUGCCCAAAUUAGUCUACAUAUUCAACACAAUUCCUAUCAAAAACCUAGCUGUAUUUUUUGCAGAAGUUGACAAACUGAUGAUAAAAUUGAUACGGAAAUGCAGGGGACCCAGAGUAGCCAAAAAAUCUUGGAAAAGAACAGAGUUGGAGAACACUUUUACCAAUUUCAAAAUGUGCUAUGAAGCUACAAUAAGAUAGUGUAGGCAUAUGAAUAGACAUAUUGAUCAGAGGAAUGGAACUGAACAUCUAGAAAUAAACCCAUACAUUUCCGAUCAACUUAUUUUCAACAAGGAUGCUAAUACCAUUCAAUAGAGAAGGAGUGGUCUUUUCAACAAAUGGUGCUGGGACAACUGGUAGCUACAUGCCCAGCAAAAGGAUCCCUACUUCCUACCACAUUACAAAUUCUAACUCAAAAUGGAUCAUAGACCUAAAUAUAAGAGUUUAAACUCCUAGAAGAAAACAGAAGUAAAUCUUUGUGGUGUUGGGUUUAGGAAUGGUUUCUUAGAUACAAUACCAAAAGCACAAGCAACAAAGGAAAACGAUACAUAAAUGGGGCUUCAUCAAAAUUAACUUUAGCACCUUAAAGGAUACCAUUAAGAAAGUGAAGUUAACCCUCAGAAUGGGAGAAAAAAAAUUGAAAAAUCAUGUAUGUAAUAAUUAAAAAAAAAAAAAAUACAUGCAGGUACCCAGCUGUGGUUGCCACAGAGGAGCACUGUCCAGUGAACUUGCUGUGAUGAUAGGAUGCUUGGUGUCUGCACUCCCAGCUUUUAGCCUCAUGGGGUUGUUGAGCAAUUGAAAUAAUAGCUAGUGUGAGGAACUGAAUUUAAAACUUUAGUUGUAGGCCAGGUGUAGUGGCUCAUGCCUAUAAUCUCAGUACGUUGGGAGGCCAAGGCAGGUGGAUCUCUUGAGCACAGGAGUUUUGAGACCAGCUUGGCCAAGAUGGCAAAACCCUGUCUCUACUAAAAAUACAAAAAAAAACUAGCUGGGCAUGGUGGCACACACCUGUAAUCCCAGCUACUAGGGAGGCUGAGGCAGGAGAAUCGCAUGAAUUUUUUUAAAAAAUGCUAAACAUGUAUGUGUAAUUUUAAAACUGGCUUAAAAAAGAAUGAUACAGUUUUGGUCUUUUUUUUAUCAACCAUGUUUUUAUUUUACUUGAACCUCUCGUGGCAAUUGCUUUGUAAUAUUAAAGUAGGAUUUGCACAAGUGGAAUUUAGAAAAGAUUAUCAAAUCUAUCAAUACCAAUUAGAACAUAAUAAAGAAAUUAGGAUAGUGGAGGUUUGAGCAAUUCAAGGCUCACCCAAAUUCAAAGCCAGUACUUAAUGCUGACGGGAUAUUUUCUGGAAGGUAAUUUUUAAAAAUUAAAGUCACAAUUAUAAAUUAUAUAUUUUCUAAUAAAACUCAACUCAUGGGAUAAUUUGAAUAUAAAACACUGGAUUGUUUCUCAUUCAGAGAUGAACAAGUCAACACGUUUCAGAAAAGAAAGUCUUUAAAGAAGAAUCCUGGCACAGAAAAGGUCCAUUUAGACAUUUCCUUCUUCCUGUGUCUCUAAUACUUCUUACUUUUCAAAUCUCUGACUUGCACAUGAAGUAAAAGUGAGGUGGCCUGUUCAGUAAUCGCAAUUUUUUGGCUUGUCAAAUUCAAGAAAUUCAAUUAUGUAGCCAAAGCUUAGAUCAUUGACAUGUAUAUUGGCAUAAGCUUUUUUAGUUUGCUUUUAAUUUUAUUAGAAGUGGAGUCUCAAAUUUGUUGCCCAUUCUGGUCUCAAAUACCCAUCCUUCAAAUGAUCCUCCUGCCUUAGCAGCAUCAGUUUAAUAUCUGGAUAAAAUCUGAUUUAUGUAAUUUUACUUUUAGGGUUUUUUUUUUCCUAACAGACAUCCUAACAAAGUUGUUUCCUAUUCCUUGAACAUUCACCUGAUACUUAUAUAUUGUCAUUACUUUUAACUGUCAACUGAUGUCAGCUACUCAAUUUACACACUACUUUUGUGCAUUCCAUCCUGUUUCUCAGUUUGACAUUCACAUUCAAAUUCAGAGUUUGACACUGAAAUCCUGGGCAUGGUGGCUCACACCUGUAAUCCCAGCACUUUGGGAAGCUUCAGUAAGCAGAUCAUUUGAACCCAGGAGUUCGAGACUAGCCUGGGCAACAUGGCGAACCCCCAUCUCUACCAAAAAAAAAGAAAAAACAAAAAUGAACUGGUCAUAGUUGCACACACCUGUUAGUCCCAGUGACUCAGGAGGCUGAAGUGGGAAGAUCGCUCGAGCCCAGAAGGCAGAGGUUACGGUGAGUGGAGAUUGUGCCACUGCACUCCAGCCCCGACAACAGAGCAAGCCACUAUCUCAAAAAUAAAAUAUUAGUAAGGAAGAGUACACUCAGUGUGAAAAUGUGUAAGUGUCCAUGUUCUUUUUCUAAUUUGGUAGCAUUAAAAAUAUUGAGCAUCAAAGUUUGGCUUUAUGACGGAGGAGUCAUCUGAGACACCUCAGGUUUCAGCCCUUACUAAUAGCGUGGUUCAAAGUGUGUUACUUGCCUGUGCUUCUGUUUCCUUAUCUGUAAAUUGGGGAUGAUGCUGUAACAUCAAACGGCUUAUAAUACUUUACAGAGCUGGCAGUACUAAAUAAGACCAUCCCUCUAAAGUGCUGACAUUUUUGAAAAGCAUCAAUCCGUCAACCUUGUGCUUUAAAUGUGGCAUUCUUAAAGAUAUACCUGUAGGCAGUAUAGAGUGUAUUCAUUUGUAUAUCUUUUUUUUUUUGAAUCUCUGUCUCCCAGGCCCCAGGCUGUAGUGCAGUGGCAUGUCUUAGUUCGCUGCAACCUCCACCUCCUGGGUUCAAGCAAUUCUCGUGCCUCAGCCCCCUGAGUAGCUGGCAUGACAGGUGUACACCACCAUGCCCAGCUAAUUUUUGUAUUUUUAGUAGAUACGGGGUUUCACCAUGUUAGCCAGGCUGGUCUCAAACUCAUGAACUCAAGUGAUCCACCCACCUUGGCCUCCCAAAGUGCUGGGAUUACAGGCAGGAGCCACCGCGCCCGGCUGGCAGUGCUUAUCUUCUAAAGUUGCAAUUGAGUUUUAUUCACUCCAGAAUCGCUUUUCAAAAAUCAUGCAGAUUUAAUGCCACCUGUUGUUUGUGUUAUGUAUCUACCCUGCAAAACAGCUCUAAAGAUGUUUUACUAAAAGAUUAACAGCAUUUAUCUCUGGUGGGAUAAUUUUUCUUUGCUUGCUUACCUGUAUCUUGCAGAUUUUCCACAGUGAACGAUUGUAUAAUUUUAAAAUACAGAUAUGCACAAUUGUAUAAUGUAAAUAUGCUCAGCUUCAAUAAAUUUGUUUUAAGAACACAUUUUUAACUUUUCAUAAGGAGUCUUCAGUUUAAAAGUACAAUGUCAUAUUACAGAGUAGUAUUCUGUUACAAAAUUAGUAAAGCUCAUUCUACCUC